rnacentral:rRNA from 1 species
AGUGAACGCUGGCGGUAGGCCUAACACAUGCAAGUCGAACGGCAGCACAGUAAGAGCUUGCUCUUACGGGUGGCGAGUGGCGGACGGGUGAGGAAUACAUCGGAAUCUACUUUUUCGUGGGGGAUAACGUAGGGAAUCUUACGCUAAUACCGCAUACGACCUACGGGUGAAAGCAGGGGAUCUUCGGACCUUGCGCGAUUGAAUGAGCCGAUGUCGGAUUAGCUAGUUGGCGGGGUAAAGGCCCACCAAGGCGACGAUCCGUAGCUGGUCUGAGAGGAUGAUCAGCCACACUGGAACUGAGACACGGUCCAGACUCCUACGGGAGGCAGCAGUGGGGAAUAUUGGACAAUGGGCGCAAGCCUGAUUCAGCCAUACCGCGUGGGUGAAGAAGGCCUUCGGGUUGUAAAGCCCUUUUGUUGGGAAAGAAAAGCAGCAGGUUAAUACCCCGCUGUUCUGACGGUACCCAAAGAAUAAGCGCCGGCUAACUUCGUG